AUUGAACGCUGGCGGCAGGCUUAACACAUGCAAGUCGAGCGGGGGAAGGUAGCUUGCUACCGGACCUAGCGGCGGACGGGUGAGUAAUGCUUAGGAAUCUGCCUAUUAGUGGGGGACAACAUCUCGAAAGGGAUGCUAAUACCGCAUACGUCCUACGGGAGAAAGCAGGGGAUCUUCGGACCUUGCGCGAAUAGAUGAGCCUAAGUCGGCUUAGCUAGUUGGGGGGGUAAAGGCCUACCAAGGCGACGAUCUGUAGCGGGUCUGAGAGGAUGAUCCGCCACACUGGGACUGAGACACGGCCCAGACUCCUACGGGAGGCAGCAGUGGGGAAUAUUGGACAAUGGGGGGAACCCUGAUCCAGCCAUGCCGCGUGUGUGAAGAAGGCCUUAUGGUCGUAAAGCACUUUAAGCGAGGAGGAGGCUACUCUAGUUAAUACCUAGGGAUAGUGGACGUUACUCGCAGAAUAAGCACCGGCUAACUCUGUGCCAGCCGCCGCCGUAA
rnacentral:rRNA from 1 species